rnacentral:rRNA from 1 species
AUGGCUCUCAACUUCGGCCGCUCCAUUUCUUUCCCUCUCACGCCGGCGAGGUCCUUCUCAAAGCCCCGCCACGUCCGCUCCGUCAGCCUCCCCGGCACCACCUCCUCCCACCCGCUCCUCGCCAACCUCCACGCCCACAUCGCCGCCCUCCGUUCCUGGAUCCAGCAAGAUCCUUCCUCCUCCCUCCCGGCCGGCCUCGCCGCCAUCCAGGAGCUCCACUCCUCCCUCGCCGACCUCCUCCUCCUCCCGGAGUCCGGGGCCGCGCUUCGGUGCCCUGCCAGCAACGCCGCCGACCGCCUCCUCGACGCAUUCCUCCUCCUCGCCGACGCGCACCAGGGCUUCCAGGAGUGCCUCCUGUCCCUCAGGCACGCUGCCACUGAGUCCCGCGCCGCGUUGCGCAGGGGCGACACCGGGAGGCUCGCGUCCGCUGCCCGGUCCCAGCGUCGAGCAGAGAAGGAGCUCGCCCGCCUCGCUGCGUCCAUCUUCUCCAAGAGGAACCUGGUGGCCAUUAGCGGCGAGGAGGCCGAAAUGGCCUACGCGCUCGUCGAGGCGGCGGCUGCCAGCGCCAUGGCCUCUGCAGCCGUGUUCUCAGCCGCUGCGUCUAUGUCGUCCGCGGCGUCGUCUUCCAAGAAGACGGCCACGUUUAUUCCCGCCUUCGCCAGGAGGACCGUCACCACGCCGGAGACUGCCGAGGCGACCGUGGAGAGGCUGCACGCGCUGGAGCAGUGCUUCGACGAGUGCGACGGGGCUUGCGACAUGGUGUUCAGGAGCGUGGUGCAGACCAGAGUUUCACUGCUCAACAUCAUGACGCCUACCAUCUAG